AGCCAGGCGCUCGCUCCCUCGUGCCCUCGAUGCACUUGCCCACCGCCGCUCUCCUCUGCCCCAACCCCAACCCCGCCGCCGCCUCAAUCCCACCGCCGCCGGCCUCCUCCUCCUCUAGCACCUCCGCUCCAGCCCCUCACCUUCUCAGCCUGGAUCCGCACGACAAGGUGUGGGGCUAUGGGAGAGAAGGCUCCAUAUCGCGCGACAAGGUGAGGGGGUGCCCAGAUCCGCAGCGGCACCACCGUGCCCUCGUCCACCUGGCCCUCGAGGUCGGCCAUGGAGGUCCGGCCCGACCAAUGGAUGGAUGGGGAUGAAACCCUAGCCCAACACCCACCCAUGGAUGGAUGGGGAUGGGGCGACGACGGCGGUGGCGGCGGCGGCCUUCUCUCGGUGCUUGCUGAUGUGGUGGACAUCGACAUCGGUGACGGGUUGCAGCACGUAGACAUCAAAGGCUGCGGGUGUGACGGAGGAGCACCAUGGCGGGCGUGCAGACCAUGGCUCACUAUGGAAGGCCCUUCCCUUCCCUCUCUCUGUUCGGGCCAUGCUCAGGCAGUCUUUUCUCUUCUCUUCCCGCAAAAAAAGUCUUUUCUCUUCAUGAUUUGAACAUGUUGGAGGCCAUUAUUUCUCCACUGCCGGAGUCUAGCCUCCCUCCGUGGGAUGCCAUGGAGAUGAAACUCCCCUCGACGAAAGAAUUCAAGGGCAUGUGGGAGAGAGAGGAGGUCCAUGGAGAAGAAGCUCUGCUCCAACCCUCCCUGCCUCCUAAUACAAGAUGUCUUUUUUUGUGUGUGCUUGUAUUGCAGCAGCCAUGUGCGUAUCAAAAAAAGGGUCCAGUUUGCAGCAGUCACAUGAUAUGGACAUGUUUUUUCAUCACAAUUGGAUUUUUGGAUUUACUAGGCUAAUUGGUGGUGGUUGCUGUUGUUGUUGUUUUAGCAGCAGCAGCAGCAGGCGGAGUGACGAUGUUGGCUAUGUGCAGGCCAUGGAGGCUUUGAUGAGCACGAGGGGAAGGCCGCUGCUUCAACCCCGUUAAGCUUACGUGUGGGAUUUGCUUCGGAAGUUGUCCACGUGAGUCAAUGGGUGCUGCUUCAUGUGGGCAUCCUUUCUGUGGUGUAUGUUGGAGAGGUUACACACCUGAUGAUGUUUACGGCUAGGCACAAGAACAAGCAGAGCCGAGGAAGUGCGGGCACGCGCUGCUGGCCUUGGCAGGUGUAGGAACCGUGCGAGGAAGGUUCAGCGCGCUGCACAAGUCGGGCCACGCCCGGAGCGCCGUGCCAACGCAUGUGUGCGUGGUCGGUGGGUUAGCCAAGAUCUGCAUUCUGCGACUUCAUCUUCACCAUGGACACAAGCAAGGACUGAUUGGUGGUUCUUGGUAGCGGUGCCGAGCAUCGGCGGAUCGAAGUGGUCGAGGUCGCGGUUAAUCCACCAGGACGAGACAUGCAUCUUGGAGCUAGCGCAGAGGGGGGAAGAAGCAGGUUGGUAUGGCCCGGAACUUUUGCGCAAAGAAAACACACACAGGGCAGGAACAUGACUACUCUUCCCCUUCCAAGUUUUUGAUCGAUCGAACUCUUCGGUGACCAGAAAAUGAGAAAAAGGCAGGCCGUCGAUGUACAGACCACAGGUGCUCGGACGCACGGCCGGCAUCAUGGUCGUCAUAACUCAUAACCCAUGAGGUGGUGACCAAGCAAGAAAGGAAGGAACUUUCGCGCAAAGAAAACACACACAGGGCAGGAACAUGACUACUCUCGCCCUUCCAUGUUUCUGAUCGAUCGAACUCUUCGGUGACCAAAAAAUGAGAAAAGGGCAGGUCGUCGAUGUACAGACCACAGGCGCUCGGACGCACGGCCGGCAUCAUGGUCGUCAUAGCUCAUAACCCAUGAGGGGGUGACGAAGCAAGAAAGGAAGAACUCCCGGGCGACGAGCCCAAUGGCCUUGUACUUCGCCCGGACAAGCACCAUUGGGUCGACGUUGCAGCCAGCGGCUGCGGCCAUGCAUUCGGAAAUUCCAUGGCAUGAUGCAUAUAAAUUGGAUCUGUAGGUGGGUUCAGAAGAUGAUUUUUUUCUAUGCUUCUCCUAUGAUUCAUGAAGCUCCAAGCGAGCAAGAAGUUUCAGUCCACCUUUACUCAUGGCCUCCCCUUCUCGUCUGGUGGACGGCCUUGGCAAUCUGAACAAGCUUUACGCGACUGGCACUCUUGUUGAUCCCAUAUGAGUCAUUAAGCCAUUUUGUGCGCAAGGUUGAGAUAGUUGGGGCCUGUAACUGUGUUUUGAUCCCAUGAAUGUCAUUUUGCACCGAAGGUUUGUAACCAUUGGGGAAUGUUUUCUUGCUCUGAUGUAUCAAGUUGCCAUGGGGGUGAUCUAGAGGUCUCUUCCUUGUCCAAAGUAUGUCAUACCUAAUCAAGACAUGUUCAUUUAAUUUACCCGUCAUGUAAAUGACACAACAUGAUUCACUUGUGUAUAGUGUAAAAAUAUAUUUAUUUAUGGCACACAGGUGUUCAAAUUAUAGUUGUGAAACGUGUAUAGUGUAAAAAUAUAAUUAUUAAGGGAUGUGACGUCACA